UACGGGGGGAGCAAGCGUUGUUCGGAUUUACUGGGCGUAAAGGGCGCGUAGGCGGCCAGCGCAAGUCAGUUGUGAAAUCUCCGGGCUUAACUCGGAAAGGUCAACUGAUACUGCGCGGCUAGAGUGCGGAAGGGGCAACUGGAAUUCUCGGUGUAGCGGUGAAAUGCGUAGAUAUCAAGAGGAACACCUGCGGCGAAGGCGGGUUGCUGGGAUCUUGCUGACACUGAUGCGCGACAGCGUGGGGAGCAAACAGG
rnacentral:rRNA from 1 species